AAAGCCCUGUCAGUAGAAUUUAUAGGACAGCAUAGCAUCUUCCUCCCUUUUUCUUUUCUGAGAAAAAUGCAAAGAACCUUUCCCAUUUCUUUUCCAGUCUUUAUUUGUUUCUUCUACUUUCAUUUUUCGAUUCUUAUUCUCUAGUUCUUCAGGUCUAAAGUAGAGUUCUUCAUGAUGCAGUAUGGUAGCAAGUUACUAACGCAUAACACAAACUACAAUUGUGUUAACUAUGUCUUGACAAUUAAAGAUUUCUUCCACUGUUUACUUUUCCCUCUUUCUCUCCCCUUUUAUAUCUUUUUUUAUUUUAUUUAUUUAAUUGAAGGUAUUUUUCUCAUAUAUUCAAAGGUGUUAAUACACACAC
rnacentral:misc_RNA from 1 species